rnacentral:rRNA from 1 species
UACGGAGGGGGCUAGCGUUGUUCGGAAUUACUGGGCGUAAAGCGCGCGUAGGCGGCUUUGUAAGUCAGAGGUGAAAUCCCGGGGCUCAACUCCGGAACUGCCUUUGAAACUGCAUCGCUUGAAUGCGGGAGAGGUGAGUGGAAUUCCGAGUGUAGAGGUGAAAUUCGUAGAUAUUCGGAAGAACACCAGUGGCGAAGGCGGCUCACUGGACCGGCAUUGACGCUGAGGUGCGAAAGCGUGGGGAGCAAACAGG